UUGUUUCCGGCUUCUUUUCCUUUCUCAGUCACAUAAUCCAAAGCUUUCUUAGCUUCCUCAGUCGCAGUUUCAUUGGCUUCAAUGGUUUUCUCAACAAUGUAGUCUUUUGUUUUCUCGCCAUCCGCCAAGGCCUCCUUCGUCUUAUCCGUCACGAAAUCAGAAGCUUUCUUUCUAUAUAUAUAUAUAUAUAUGUUAAGAUUCAUUAUUGACAAACGAUUUUAAAAACAUAUAUCUACACCAUGGAAACUCAAUCCUCAACAAGGCCAUUAUAGUUGAUUAUAGUAUGUAUAAAACUGUUAUGAUGGGAUUAACCAAAAUAAAAUAACUAUCAUGGCGAGUACGUAAUGUAUAUGAGAGUUUUUGCGAGUACACAUGAAGAUAGCCUUAGUCACGAGAAAAUUUGUUAAAAGAAAAGAAUAUAGACUCACGUGGCUUCGUUGAGGUCAUCGAGGAUGUUGCCGUCACUUUUAACGGCGUAUAUCAACGACUUCUUGCGCUGAGCAACGACGACGAGCUCACUCUUCCGGCCAACUCUGACGGUACCAACACCACUCUGCUUUGCUCCUACGUUGUGGAAAGAAGAACCCAUGCCACUGAGAACAGCUCCUGAUAAAGACAUCGCCAUGAGGACUCUUAAAGAUGUUUUUUGGGAGGAAAAUAAAUACAAGAAAGAGUUUUAAGAUGGAGAAAGUGAGAUGAGAAAAAUCUAACCUCCAAUAGUAUCGUUUUAUAGAUCUCUCGACCAAUGAGAAUCCAAAACUACACGUGUGAGUGCUAGAUAUUUUUGCGCAUUGCUAUUAUCUUUAACUAUCGAAUAAGAAGAGUUUUCGUUGGUUCGUACUAGUUACGUGUAACCAUUUCUAUGGUUACCAAAAGAAAAAAGAGGUCGGCCAUCAAGUUGUGGUUAUAACCGUUAUACACAUGUUAGCAUUUUUGGCUACGAUAUUUACAUGUUAGCAUUUCUGUUUUAUUUGCAACUUUCAACAUUAAUAACUAGACUCGAUAGAGAUAUAUAUAUAAAGGAAAAAUGUAUUAGUCGUUAAGCUGAAAAUGUACAAGUCUUUGUGUAUGUCUAUUUAGUCAUUUUUAGCAAUUAGCUAGGUUAAAACAACUUUUAACAUUUUUUCAAUUAAGUACAAACUGUAGUUAAACUACUAAUAGUAUAUAGAUAUAUUUCUAAGAACCUAAUACUCCAAUGUUAAAUAAACAAAAACAAAAACUCACACUUCAAUGCCUAAUUGUUAUACUAUAAUUAUAAAUACCAAUGUUACUUUCAAAUAUAACUAUUUUGCUCAACAGCAAAAACGCUAUUUACAAUGCCUAAUAUUUUUUUUUUUGAUAAAUAUGAAAUAGAGCAUGUACCAGCCAAGAAUGAGCUUAUUAGAUAUGUCCCACAUUGGUUGGGUAUGUGAGUAAUGUGCUCCUUAAUUAUGUGGUGUGGCAUACCGACUUCUAGAUGAUAUGUUUGUGACGGGAGAUGAGGUGAUAAUUUGUUGGUGCCGGACCAUAAUUUUUCCUUCCACGGAUUGUAAUUCACUGCUUGGAAUGGCUAAGUGGAUCAAUGUUGAUUACAAGCCACCAAAUUUUGAAGUUUUUGGUACAACAAUGUAUCAUACCAAUUCGAUGUCAUACCAAACAGUAAAUAGUGGACAUGCGAAGAAAAAAAGCAGUUCCUCUUUUAUUGGUUCGUCACAAAAGAGACAAGGCUAUCGAUCUCCCAUAUGCUCUCAUCCUUUCACCGUUGAAAGACUCUAGACGGCGAUGUUACUUAUAAUUACUCAUUAUUUAAUUUUGUCUAUUGAAUAUUUUGCAAAACAUUAAAGAAUGUGACGGUGACUGUGGAUACCAUAUCUUAUUUCAGUUGUGAUGUGAAAUUAAUAGAAAUUACAACAGACUCAUCUUAUUGUAAGUACUAUUAAACAUGAAGAGAGAGGAUAUGGAUCAAUAUAUCUACGAGUUUAAGUGCUUGAAAUUAACUGAUUAGGUAAGACCCUACUUUGUGGCAUCCUUAGCCUCUCCUGCUUUACCCUCCGCGAACUCUGCCGCCUUGUUUGCGGCUUCUUUUCCUUUCUCCUCCACAUACGCCGCAGCUUUCUCAGCUUCUUUACCCAAUGUAUCUGCGGUUUCACUGUUUUUUUCAACAACGUAGUCUUUCGCUUUCUCACCAUCUGCUAAUGCCUCUUUUGUUUUAUCCGUCACGAAAUCUGAAGCUUUCUUUCUAUAUCAUUUUCAAAUUAAAAUUUAUUUUAGUAUUUAUCAAAGGUUUCAAAACACAUAUCCAAAAGUAGUCAACAGAAUCAUCAAAUAAACUUAGAGCUAUACAUGUAAACUAGAAAAAUAGAGAUAUAUAAUGUACGGUAUAUGAAUCUUUAUCUUUGAUAAUAGUCAAAUAUGAUCAUAAAAUAAGUUCAAAACAAACAUAUUUCCACUAAAAUCUAUACUAAUAUAGUAUACCAUAAACAUUGCCUGCUAAGAUCCUUACUUAUGAGGCAAGAUACUAAAAGAAGAAAGAAUGUAGACUUACGUGGCCUCGUUGAGGUCAUCGAGGAUGUUGCCGUCACCUUUAGCGGCGUAGAUCAACGACUUCUUGCGUUGAGAAACGACGACGAACUGAGUUUUCUGGCCGACUCUGACAGCGCCGAAGCUGCUCUGCUUGGCUCCGCUGUGGAAAGAAGAAGCCAUACCAGUGAGAACAGCUCCUGAGAAAGAC
rnacentral:lncRNA from 1 species